rnacentral:ncRNA from 1 species
AAAAGCCGUAUUCGAUGAAAGUUGUAUGUACGGCUUGACGGGAGAUCUUUCGUAUCUUUUGAGAUCCAUCCUAC